rnacentral:misc_RNA from 1 species
UUAAGUUCAGCGGGUAUCCCUACCUGAUCCGAGGUCAACCUUGAGAAAAGUUCAGAAGGUUCGUCCGGCGGGCGACGCCCUGCGCUCCGAAGCGAGAUGUAUGUUCUACUACGCUUGAGGCAAGACGCCACCGCCGAGGUCUUUGAGGCGCGCCCGCAAAGGACGGUGCCCAAUACCAAGCAGAGCUUGAGGGUUGUAAUGACGCUCGAACAGGCAUGCCCUUCGGAAUACCAAAGGGCGCAAUGUGCGUUCAAAGAUUCGAUGAUUCACUGAAUUCUGCAAUUCACAUUACUUAUCGCAUUUCGCUGCGUUCUUCAUCGAUGCCAGAACCAAGAGAUCCGUUGUUGAAAGUUUUAGUUUAUUAAAUGUUUUUCAGACUGCAUCGUUUACUGACUGGAGUUUGAUGGUCCUCUGGCGGGCGCUGGCCACCCCCCGGGGAGGGGGGCGGCCGCGGAGAACCGCGGCCCGCCAAAGCAACAGAGGUAGGUACACAAAGGGUGGGAGGAUCGGGCCGGAGCCCGAAUCAACUCGGUAAUGAUCCUU